AGUAAGCAAGCCCUUUGUUAACCACUCCACACUCUACAUCAAGCCAAAAGCUCAAAGCCAAAGGAAAUGCGAAUGGAGUUGUAUGGCUUGUGGUAUAUUUAUAGGCAAAAGGAUACAUAUAUAACGGUGACCACUUCUCAAUUCUAAGUUAUAUAGUGAACAUCUUUAUAUUUUUCACAUCAGAUGUAAUUAAUUAGUUUUAUAUUAGAUUGUGGUCAUCUAAGUUAUAUAAUGAACAUCUUCUUUAUAUUUUUCACAUCAGAUGUAAUUAGUUUUAUAUUAGAUUGUGGUCAAUGAUUAUUAAUUUCUGGUAGGACACUUCAGCAACUUGUGCACUUGCCUUCAAAUUACAUUCAAGCAUAUUAAAAUCUGAAUUUGGAGUCAUCAAAGAUUUUGCUGCUUGGAGUCCACUCUGCUUUGCAUCAUGACUAUAUUUGCAAGUAUUGCUAAAGUAAUUUCAAGCGAGGGUUCCAUAUUUGCUGGAAACUGACAAGGCUACAGUGGAAAUGGAGUGCAUGGAAGAAGAAUAUCUUGCCAAGAUAAUACAUGGAGAUGGGUCCAAAGAGAUAAAAGUUGGUGAGAAAAAAUAUUAGAAUGUCCACCCGAAUCUCAAAACACAACUAAUAUUGUUGAUGAUACAAUUAGCAUUGUGUUUGGCAAAGAAGUAG